CCGCAUCCAAUGCUAUAUCUGACUCCAUCCUCUUUCCAGGACGAGCAGGUCCUCUCCUUGGAGGUAUUCUUUAUAUGUCUCUAAAAGAGUUAAAAAGAAAGGACGGUCGUUACACACUGAGUCAUAAUAUAUUUUACUGAAUUGUAAAUGACUCAUAAAUUAAUAUACAGAAAAAUCAUAUGCUCCAUAGUAUAAUCCUAUACUUAAUCCUGACUCAUCCUAUUGCUCUGACAGGACUCUUGUUUAACCUUUGCUCUGAUACCAAGCUUUGUCACGACCCCCGCCCCGUUCCCGGCGGGCCGCCGCGACGGUCCUAGGGUGCGGGUAGGCAUAAGGCCGCCAGCCACCGCGUAGAACCCUACUACCUAUCAAUCAUCAAUAAAUCUUGAAAAAUUUGGCAUGAUACAUGCACAAAAUGAUCACUUUUUCUAUAGUGACCUGUCAGGAUUAUCUCAAUACAUACAACAACACUACCUGUCAGAGCAGCAAUCACAUAAUCUGUCACAUAAUGN
rnacentral:lncRNA from 1 species